GUGCUGACUUCAGCAGCACAUACCAAGAUGAAUGAUACAGACGAGAGUAGCAUGGUCCCUGUGCAAGGUUGACACACUAACUUAUGAAGGAUUCCAUAUUAAU
ensembl:snRNA U6 U6 spliceosomal RNA